rnacentral:rRNA from 1 species
UUGGAGGGCAAGUCUGGUGCCAGCAGCCGCGGUAAUUCCAGCUCCAAUAGCGUAUAUUAAAGUUGUUGCAGUUAAAAAGCUCGUAGUUGAAUUUCGGGAUCAAUUUAUCGGUCGUGCCUACGGUAUGAACUGGUACAAUUGGUUUCUCCCUUCUGACGAAGCAUGAUGUCAUUAAUUUGGUGUCGUGGGGAAUCAGGACUGUUACUUUGAAAAAAUUAGAGUGUUUAAAGCAAGCAUUAGCUUGAAUACAUUAGCAUGGAAUAAUGAAAUAGGACGUUUGAUCCUAUUUCGUUGGUUUCUAGGAUCGACGUAAUGGUUAAUAGGGAUAGUUGGGGGCAUUAGUAUUCAAUUGUCAGAGGUGAAAUUCUUGGAUUUAUUGAAGACUAACUACAGCGAAAGCAUUUGCCAAGGAUGUUUUCAUUAAUCAAGAACGAAAGUUAGGGGAUCGAAGACGAUCAGAUACCGUCGUAGUCUUAACCAUAAACUAUGCCGACUAGGGAUCGGAUGAUGUUAAUUUUUUAAUGACUCAUUCGGCGCCUUACGGGAAAC